AAUAUCGUGAAACAGGUUUUGCUUUUAUUCCUUCUUCCUCUUUUGUUUUCUUCACCAUUUUUCUCCCCUCCGCUUCACACCAAGCAGCCUUCCACGCCAACCAGCCACCUCCGACAAGCCACUUUCAUCCAGCCUACUGCCGCCAGCCACUCCCAAAUUCCAACUAAACACCUUGUCUUCUUUUGGUUCUUAAAGCAAGGGAUUUGAACCUCUCUCUUGAUCUUUCUUGGGGUGCAACAAAUGAGGAUUUAACAUUAAAAAUCUCUUUAUUGUGUCCCUUGGAACUUGGGUUGGCUCAUUGGAUAAUAUUUGACGCAUAUUCCUUAAGCUGAUGAAGUUUGUAUCUAUAAGAGGUCAGGAAAAUGUUCAAGAUCGAAUGCCGGAGGCAUGACAGUGCGGUGGAGCCUGUGUUUACUAGAUGUCUAUUUCCUUACUUUUAUUUAGGAUGGUUAGACGUUUAAAUUGUUGAAUGUCAUGUAUGACUCAAUCACCUCUGACUUGAGCUAUUGUUUUGUUUCCGCUACGAUAUGGACCAUUGAGGUCUUAAUUAGUAUGAUAGUAUUAAAUUGUGUUAUGGAGGUUUAAUGCCAUUGGAGUCCUCUUUAGGACAAUUGUUUAUUGUUGUGCAGGCUGGCGCUCAUUGUUCUAUAAAGUUGCGCCACGUUUGUCUAA